rnacentral:rRNA from 1 species
AAGAACUUUGAAGAGAGAGUUCAAGAGGGCGUGAAACCGCCGAGAUUGAAACGGAUAGAGUUGACGAAACUCGAUCGCAUUCAUCCGAUCCGCCUAGCGGUUCGGCGGUUGUUGACUUCCUCGAUGAGGGCAGCGCCGUCGCUGGCUGUUGGGUGUUAGAUCGGUGUAUUUGCGGUCGGUAUGCGCCGAGAGCCUUGCGAACGCAUGUUGGCGUUGGUGUAGUGGACCACUCCCUCCGGGCGUGGAACCCUGCACUGACUGAGGCAUGUCGUUGGUAGGGUGUUGCUGGUUGACGUCUCCGCUAUGGUGCGUCGGCUUUGUCGGGCUGUUGUGGCUGCUGGGUGAUCGCAUGCGAGCGCCUGCAGCUUGCAAUGGUACGAUGAGGUGCGGACGCGCUUGGGACGUGCAUCUCGGUGUGAACGUUGACCACCUAUCCGACCCGUCUUGAAACACGGACCAAGGAGUCUAGCAUAUGCGCGAGUCAUUGGGUGGUAAACCUAAAGGCGUAAUGAAAGUAAAGGUCGUCUUGUUACGGCUGAUAUGGGAUCUGUGCGGCUUUCGAGCCACGCAGCGCACCAUAGCCCCGUCCCGGUUGCUUGCAAUGGGGCGGAGGUAGAGCGCAUACGCUGGGACCCGAAAGAUGGUGAACUAUGCCUGAGCAGGAUGAAGCCAGAGGAAACUCUGGUGGAAGUCCGAAGCGGUUCUGACGUGCAAAUCGAUCGUCUGACUUGGGUAUAGGGGCGAAAGACUAAUCGAACCAUCUAGUACG